GAUGGUAUAGCUCAAAUGGUAGAGUACAGGUUUAGCAUGCAUGAGGUCCUGGUUUCAAUCCCCAGUACCUCCU
rnacentral:tRNA from 1 species